ACACACACACACAUACACAUACACACACACACACACAUACAUGCAUAUAUAUAUACAUACAUAUAUAUGUAUAUACAGGACAAAACAGACAAUCGUAACAGGCUACCUGAGGGUCUCAAUAAAUGUGCCAAGCCCAGAGGAAUUCAACUAAAAAAAUAAAAGGUCAUUAGACAUGUUUCUCAAAGCCCAGGAAAAUUAAAUGUCCAAUUUCAGGAUGCAAAUUUUGCCAAUAGGGAUGCAGGGAAAGUUGAUCAAUACCAUAUCCUCCUCAUCCAGUGCAUUUUUUUAAAUAAUAAAUAAAUUAGUAUAAAUAAAUUUAAUAAUAAAUAAAUCAGUUCAACACAGGUAACCAUUUUUGCUUCAUUUCUUUGAUGGCUCAAAUGUAUGCUCUAGUCGAUUUUGUGUUUUGGCCAUUUGUGAACCACAUUAAACAGUUUCAUUUACCAUGCUUUAAGGGUGUUUUGCCAUGUCAUCACCAUUCAUAUCUAUACAAUACAACUAACGUUUAAAUUAUUAAAUUAUUACUAGAGCACAAAAUUGUUCACAAGAGCAAAGCUCUUAACAGAUCUAGACUCUAGAGAAUUUUGUGUACCAGACAAAAUUUUCUUACGGAGGAGCAUGCCCCCCUCCCCCCAUGGGGUCAGAGGUCCACCCCCCACAGUCUGACAAAAUCCUGUGGGGAAACACUGAAAGGCCCAAAUAUAAUUCACUGUCUGAUUUCAUGAUCGCCCUUGUUCCGAUAUUCACUUGCAUAUCUAAUGUAUGGAUUAAAAGGAUUAAAAUCGACAACCCCUAGAUGGCACGCCAGAGCUGAAACAUCUCUGUCCAUCUGGUUUCCAAGUCAAACUGAAGCAAACUCAAGCCCAACAAUAGAACAGACUUAUGAGAACCAUUUCUCUUUAAAACUCAAUGCAGUGGGCAUGGCUGUUGUCAAUGGGCUGUGUCUGAAAUGCGUAUUUACUACUCUAAAAGUCCAGAAGACUAGUAAUUAAAACAUGCCUACUGGUGAGCUUUUUUUUAAUUUAUUUAUUCAAAGACUAACUGUAAUAGGGUUGGUGACCACUCAUCUAGAAUAAAAAAAAGUAUGUAUUUAAGAUACAAAGCUAGUUGGUUUAGUUAGUUUGGGACACAGUGUCAUAGUGCUAUACUGCCUCCAGUAUUUCUGCUGAUCUGCACAAUCAAUGCGUCAAAUGACUGCUGCACCCAUCUUGUGUGUGCAUAGUUAACAGCAAGUAUAAAUCAGCCUCGAGUUCUCCUCAAAUUGCAUCUCUUACUAACACAGAGCCUACAAGGAAGUAUAUAAUGUUAGCUAAAUUGAUAAAGAACGCAAAAUAUUCUCUAUUUACCUUGACAGAAAGCGAGGGUGCAUACACAAGCAUCUCCAUGCAAACAGAGAGCAUAUGGGAUUUGGGAAGCAUGCUCAGCUUCCAAGAAGUGUCUGUUAAUAUCAAAGAGUACAAAACACCAUUGCAGGAUCAUCCCAGAUUCACAUGUCGAUUGCCUAAUCUCCCGUUUAAUUGGGGGUGAAAAAGACUGCUUUUUUGGUGUAAUGUCUAUACAAAAACAAACUAUUGUGUAUUGGUGUAUUGUCUAUGAACCUGGAUAUUUACGUCACAUGGUCAUAUGAUCACGAUAUAUUCACAACAUGGUGUCCAAAUUGUUGAAGAGGCACUGGAGUAAAGAAGAGACGCUGGUUCCUCUUUUACCAAAAAGCAUCCAUUUUUCGUUUGGCGAUUCAGGAAGUGUUUAAUAUCUGGGUAGGGUCAUUGAUACGCAUACUACAAGUCUAAAUACAACAAGUAGCAGCAGUCAAACAUCUUUUUUUCACCCCACUACAUGAGGUGACAUCUGCAUAGAAAAUCAGACGUGUAUCCAGACAGGACUAAAAUAAUCAGACAACUGCUGAGUUUGGUGAAAAACUCAAAAAAUAAGCCUGUCAUUUUCUCAGAGGAGAACACCAACAAUGGUUGAUCUGGGAUGACAACAAUUUAAAUAAAAUCACAGUGUAAACCCCAUGUACAUUUAAUCCCACCCAGACAGGGCUUAAAUUAGUUAAUUACAUUUAAAACCACAGUAGUUGCCCAAAGUGCUAUACAUAUAGGACUGCAAGAUUAUGGCCAAAAUGAUAAUCAUGAUUAUUUUUGAUCAAUAGUGAGAUCACGAUUAUUUAUAAUGAUUGAUUUUUUUAUUACAACAUAUUUUUAUUGCACUUUCACAUUUAAAUACAGACCACUGCUUUAACCUCCAUGUUGUGCUACAUUCCUGCUAAUGUACAAAUCUUUGCAUCAGUUUAGACUGAUCCUUAAAGUGCAUCAUCUCAUAGAAGCAAAAUAUAAAUAAAAUUGUACCCAAAAUAUAGGAUAAGCAAAAAUAAAUAUGUAAAUAUGCCAUCAACCAAAUGAAAAUAUGUAAUCAAAUAUAACAAUAUGCAACCAAAUGAAAACAAUUCAGGCCUUUGCAGAAAAGGCAAUAAGUGUUUACAGGAGGAGAGACGCAGCCAAAUCACCCAAUAGAGUGAUGACGGGAGGGAUGAUGUCAUUUUGUACCAAAACCUGGAAGUUAGCAUCACACUGGUUCCCUAGACAAAAACCCAAUAGGAUUUCCCAAUAGGCUUUUGGAUUAUCGCAAGAAAUAAGCUCUGUGAUCAACAAAAGUUUACAAUAUUAACACAUUUUGUCCAUCAAGAUCAUUUUCACAAAUUAACACAGCUUUUAUGAAGUUUGAAGCCUUUGUGAUAUGCUGGUUUGAAAAACUGAAAUAAGCAUUACAAAUUAAUAAAAUUAAUAAAAAGGCACAGCCUGCAACGAAAUGUCAAACAAUUAUCAUAAUUCUUGAAUACCAUAAUUGAGGCAUUUAAUCAAGAAAUGUAUUACAAACAAGCAAGCAUACUACAGAGAAAAUUUCAUGUCAGAGGGGAUUUGAGCUAAUUUUGUUUUACCAGUAAGUGCAAGAGGUACAUGAGUGAAGCGUUCGCUUGGGCUGCAAGCGAUUGAGCAAAGCGCACACGCAUAGAGCAGAAUAUUGAGCGGAGCGUCACACCACUCCACUCUGCUGACAUGCUCUGACCCACAUGUAUACAGCCAGUUCUCAAAAAGAAGUUUUUAUCCAUCCAUUUUCAAAAUAAUUGUCACAAACAGUGUUUCUGAAGAGAUCUCCACCCAAACAAAAAUGCAAAAACAACAUUAAAACAUUCUCAUGAGCACGUCAGCCAUAGAUAACCGCGAUACUAAAGCUUCAAAAUAAAAAUAAAUCAAAUUUCAUAAAAAGAACCUACAGUCAAGCAUGGUGGUGGCCUGGGCAACUUGCAAUAAUUGAGGGAAACAUGAAUUCUGCUCUCUACCAUAAAAUCCUAAAGGAGAAUGUCUUUAGUCAUUAAGCUGAAACUCGAGCGCAACUGAAUUAUACAGCGAGACAAUUAUCUAAAGCAUAAGACUAAGUCCUUGUCCUAGAAGUAACUGAAAGACUGAUCUCCAAUUAUCAGAAACAUUUGGUUGCGGUUAUUGCUGCUGAAGGUGGCACAAACAGAUUUAUGUUCAAGGGGCCAUUAGUUUUUCACAUUGGUGAUAAGUGUUGGAUAACUUUUAAUUCAAUAAAAAAAAUUUUUAAUAAAAUCUGUAGUGUGUUUACUCAGGUUGGCUUCGUUUUAUGUUAGGUAUUUCAUAUGAAGGUCUAAAACUAAUAAACACUAAACCACCUUGUCCCCAACAAGAGGUUUCAUUCAAACAUUCUUUAAUUUUUCUUUUUAAAUUCCACAAAAUAAUUAUUAUAAUAAUAAAAAAACACAACCAAUUUUUAUAUGGCACCUUUUCCACUCAUGCUGGACUAAAUUUGCAUUUCCCAGGCACUGCUUCGUCUUCACCAUAACACUGGUAUACUCAGUAAAUGUCGCUAGAUGAUGUCAUGCGCUAAUUAACAUAUUCCUUACGUAUACUUUCACUACUCUCCGUGCUCACAUACUGUAUUUUAAUACAGCCAAAUUCCCAAUAAACCUGUUCUCAUUGACAUUUUUCUGAUGUCAGACAGCGGAACGAGUAUGAAAUGGCGACCAAAAUGCGGCCCAUUAAGACUACAUGCUAAUCGGAAGUCACAUCCAAGCCAUUUACGUAAAAUCCUGAUUUUAUAACCGCGACAUUCUCUGACAAAAUCACCAUACACAUAAAUUAAAGACAACAGCUGUGCUGUGAUUUCAGCUGUAUUUACAUGUAAAAUGAUCACUCAGAGAAAACUGGAAGUGACAAUAUCCUGCUCCUCUGUGCCACUUACUGAACAGAGUAGCUAGAGAGAGAGAGAGAGAGAGAGAGAUGUACCUGCAGCAGGAAAGCAGGACUUCACACUCACGGGGCUGUACAGGCCACUCUCUUCUAUGGGAAGUUGCCAUGGUUUGCCCAAUAUUUUUACUGCACUUUCACAUUUAAAUAAACAGGUCACUGCUUUCACCACCAUGUUGUGCUACAUUCCUGCUAAAUGUACAAAUCUUUGCAUCAAAUUAGACUAGUCCUUAAUGUGCAUCAACUCGUAGAAGCAAAAUAUAAAUAAAAUUGUACCCAAAAUACAGGAGAAGUAAAAAUAAAAAUGCCAUCAACCAAAUAAAAAUAUGCUACCAAAUAAAAAAGUUCGGGCCUAUGCAGAACAGCAAUAACAGUGUUUACAGGAGGAGAGACGCAGCCAAAUCACCCAAUAGAGUGGUGCACAUCAUUUUGUACCAGAACCCGGAAGUUAGCAUUACACUGGUUCCCUCGACAAAAAGGGAUUUUCCCCAUAGGCUUUUGGAUUAUCGCAAGAAAUAAGCUCUGUGAUCAACAAAAGUUUACAAUAUUAACACAUUUUGUCCAUCAAGAUAAUUUUCACAAAUGAACACAGCUUUUAUGAAGUUUGAAGCCUAAAUGCAAUCGGCAGAAAUAAACAGCUAACCGUAUGCUAUAAACGAACUACACCACGGUUGCUCAACUUCAACGUCACCAUCACCAAGUUUCCGACAACUUUUCCGAACUUGAUUUAAAACAUUUUCCAUAAUACGGAUUUACUCUGUGGAUGAAUCUUCAUCCACGUUUUUGGGUGAAAAUUGUGCACAGCAUACCUGAAACAGUUUAUCUGCAAAGUUUUUUCCCUGUUCGGCGUGAUGACGUUUAAUAUCCCGGACAACAUCUGCAGUCCCAUUUAACGUCAUGAUUUACCCCAACGCAAAGAGCUGGAGCAGGAAGAGAAGCUGGCAGCUCCAGCACUAAAAUGCUAACACCAUUUCCAGGUUUUGGCAUACAAAAUGACGUCAUCCCCGCGCCACUCUAGGGUGACUGGCUCUAAAUUUAGGAAGCGCCUGAUUUGAUAUGCAGUGGAGUUUUCUAUGAGUGGAGGACGAACAUUAAAAGUCAAUAUCAAAGUCGAUCAUGUUCAUGUAAUUGUGGGCAGUCAAAAUCAUAAUUGCGAUCAAUAUUCGAUUAACUGUGCAGCCCUACUUCCAACACACCAUCUUUGAGAACUGACUGUUUACUUGCUGCUUAAUAUAUCCCUCCUCUUGACAGGUGCCACUGUAGCCGGAUAAUCAACGUUAUUCACUUCAUCGGUCACUGGUUUUAUGGUGUUAUGGCUGAUCACUGUAUAGCCAUGUAAACAGUUCAUACACCACAUGGAAAUUCUUGUCUUUUUUGACAUAUCUGGACAAGUAAACAUUUGAUCCUCUGAUACACUAUCAAAUGACAAAACUGACAUCAAGUAAUUUUCACAAUUUAAAUGAACAAAAAACAGAUCAGUCACACGGAAAAAUUAAGUACUCCCCUUCAUUUAUCACACCUUCAAAUCCAUAAAAUUAGAAUUAGGUGUAAAAGAUUGGUGUCAGUGAUGAGAACAUACUUAGGGAGUGCAGGUGGAACCUGUCUUAUUUAUAUCCCUCUAUCUAGUGUCUGGUGUUCCCUUCCCUUUAUGUGUGUGGUGUCAUCAUGCCAAGACCUAGAGAGUUCUGUAAGGCCUUCAGAAAAAAGGCUGUGGAUGCCUGUGAGUCUGGGAAGAGAUUUAAAAAGAUCUCCAAAUUAUUUGAAAUACAUCAUUCCGCUGUAAGGAAAACCUUCUACAAAUGGUGCAGAUUUCAGACGACUGCCAAUUUGUCCAGGAGUGGCCAUUCAGCCCAAGAGCAGACCAUCUGAUGCAAAAAGAAGUCCCCAAGAACCCCAAAAUUUAAUCACAGGAUCUGCUAUAAAUUCUUGCAACUGUUGGUGUCAAAGUGCAUGCUCCUACAAUCAGAAAGAGACUGCACAAAUUUGACGUGCAUGGGAAGCGUGCCAAGAAAAAGCCUUUGCUUUCUAUAAAGAACAUUAAAGCAAGACUACAGUUUGCCAAUGAGCAUAUAGUCAAAGACUAGGCCUUUUGAAAUUAUGUGCUCUGGACAGACAAAUCAAAGAGAGUUGUUUGCCCACAGUAACAACAGACAUGUUUGGCACUGACCAAAGACAGUGUUUCAAGAGCAGCACCUCAUACCAACUGUGAAGCACGGUGGUGGAAAUAUAAUGGUUUGGGGGAGCGUUGUUGCUGUGGACAAUUACACAAAACACCUACAAGAAGUUAUUUCUGCUACAGGGGGCAAUGCUAGAUUUUGAGACAAAGGGUGUACUUACUUACAUAUACAUACAUACAUAUAUAUACACACACAUAUACACAUAUACAUACA
ensembl:lncRNA